rnacentral:lncRNA from 1 species
GAAAAGCUCCUUUGCAAGUUGGUUCUCUUUCCUCACAAGUAUCCACAGGCAGAUGAGGAUAGUAUAAAACUGCAAUUCUCGUGACUGAUAAAUCAAAUGAAAUAAUCCAAUAAACUGGAAGAAAAAUUGUGAAUUGGUCUUCUGAGAGGCAAGAGAGCAUGCUGGUAAGAGCUUGGACUCCGAGGUCAACAAGUAUCUUGACCUUCUGGCACCUUCGUUUGUAAGUGUGGAGAUAACACCCAGCUCCUAGGAUGGCCUUGGAGAUUAAAUGAGUUUGGGAUAACAAAUAGCACUCAGUGAGGGCUUACUAUGUGCCAGGUACUAUCCAAAUGCAAAUUUCAAUUUCUAAAUUUUAAUCUCUCUCUUUAAUCAAACAUACAGCUUUUGAUAUUUGAUAUGCAUUCUUGUAUUUUCCUCUUAGGUGCUUUUCAGUUAUCUUCCUGAGAAUUUGUGCAUUUUAUGUAGAAAUAAGAUAAAAUACACAAGAUAUAAUAUCCUACUGGUCCUUAAUUCCACAGCUUAAUAACUGUAUGAACAUGGGAAAUUACUUAAUCUCUCUGCGUCUCAGUUUCUUCAACUAUAAAAUAACAAUGCUGCUGCUGCUGCUGCUGCUGAUGAUGAUGAUGAUGGUGAAGAUGAUGACACCUAUUUCAUGGGGCUGUUGUGAAAAUUGAGAUGAUCCCUGUUAAGUAUUUAGCAGAGUGCCUGACAGUGAGUGCUCAAUCACUUAUUAUUAUUGCUGGUAAUACUGUCGUUAGCAUUACUUUUGCUGUUAUUAAUGUAGUGUGAUUUAUUUUUAAAUUAGGGUCAAUUGAAGGAACUGGGAAUAUUUUGUGAGUAAGGGUUUUUAUGUAUAUCACAUUCGUUCUUCUCAUAACCUGCCACCCUCCUCAUUUUUGUUACUGGGAAUGAAAUCGACUUCAAAAUAAACCUAAGAACCCGGACUCCCUUGGAUCUGACACUGACCCCAGACGCCAAGCCACAGAGGAGUAUGCUGCAGUCAUUCUCUCUUUGAAAUUCUAAUUAAAAAUACAUUUUAAAAGUUUUUUAAAUGCAUGUUUUUCUUGAAUUCUGAUAUGAGCCAUGCAAUAUAAAAUGGCACUGUAACAUCUCUUCAAAUAUGCGCACUUCUAUUCACAAUAGUAUUUUAAAAAGUAAUCUUACAAAAGUUUUAUUUAAAAAUACCUUGCCAGGUGUGGUAGUGCAUGUCUGUAGUCCCAGCUGUUCAGGAGGCUACCCCUCUUGGGUUUGUUUUCUCUAAAAUAAACCUGUCCUUAAUUGUCAAGACACCGUUCAUGUUUCUUUCCUCUUUCUUUAAUUCUUACAGGGGUGGGAAGAUUGCUU